AUCCAACUGACGAGUUCCAAAUAGGACGAAACAUGCGUCCUGGAU
rfam:Schistosoma haematobium scaffold163_104, whole genome shotgun sequence.